rnacentral:tRNA from 1 species
GCGGAUUUGGCGGAAUUGGCAGACGCGCUAGAUUUAGGUUCUAGUACCGAGAGGUGUGGGGGUUCAAGUCCCUUAAUCCGCA